rnacentral:rRNA from 1 species
CCUCCUUUCUUCCUCCUUUCUGCCUCUUGGUCCAUGGUCGGGCGCCUGCACCAGCCAAGCCGCGUGAGGGAUGAAGGUACAGAGUAUCGUAAACCUCUUUUGUCAGGGAACAAAGGCGGGGACGUGUCCCCGGAUGAGUGUACCUGAAGAAAAAGCCUCGGCUAAGUCCGUGCCAGCGGCCGCGGUAAUACGGAGGAUGCGGGCGUUAUCCGGAUUUAUUGGGUUUAAAGGGUGCGACGACGGUCGGUUACGUCAGCGGUCAAAGCCCGGGGCUCAACCCCGGCCCGCCGUUGAAACUGGCAGUCGCGAGUUGGAGAGAAGUAUGCGGAAUGCGCGGUGUAGCGGUGAAAUGCAUAGAUAUCGCGCAGAACUCCGAUUGCGAAGGCAGCAUGCCGGCUCCACACUGACGCUGAGGCACGAAAGCGUGGGUAUCGAACAGGAUUAGAUACCCCAGUAGUC